UAUUAUUGAAAAUAAAAAUCUGGACGAAAUACCAGAAAGUCAACCAUUCGAUUAUGGAGAGAAUGAAAGUCUGGAUGAAAUACCAGAAAGUCAACCAUUGGACUAUGGAGAUAAUGAAAGCUUGGACGAAAUUCCAGAAAGUCAACCAUUGGACUAUGGAGAUAAUGAAAGCUUGGACGAAAUUCCAGAAAGUCAACCAUUGGACUAUGGAACUUUCUCUCAAUUUACUCAAAGAACAUUCUGCUCUUCAGAAAACAAAUUAAAUGCUGAUAUUUCACAGAAAAAUGAUAAGUAUUCAAAGGAUAUACAAUCAUUAUCUUCAAGUGAUGAUCAAGAAAAAAAAAACUUCUAAAGGGAUAACAAAAAUUCCAAUACUUGUUUCCUCGAAAAAAAAUUCUAUUCUUUAAGAACUCCAUCACCACGUAGUGAUAAAACAACUUUAAAAACACAAUCAAAAACUUUAAUGCAAGACUUUAAAAAUAGUCCUUCUGCAUCGUCCUCUUUACAUCAGAUGACUCCUCAAAGAUAUUCCAAAACAUCGGGUAACAAUAAAACCGAGAUUAAAACCUCCGUAAUAAAACCGAAAGUUCUAAACAUUUUAGAAACACGUAUUCCAUUAUCUGAAAUAACAGGUGGCAUUCAAAAUUAAAAAAAAUGAAAAUAAGAAUAAAAAAGAACUACAUGUUCACCAUGAGUUAUGUUGUAAAAUGUGUCGAACAGAUAUUAAAAUCAUUUUACAAACUGUAACAUUCAUAAAGCAGACUGUUUUGGAUUUACAUGCAGACGAACCACAUGGAGCAAGCGAAAUAAAUUUGAAUAUACCAAUUUCAACUAUUGAAGAAUUAAGUCAAUUUGAAGCUCUUUUGAAAGAAAAUGUUCCAGCUCAAUUACAAUAUUUUUUUGGCAGAAGAAAAUGAUUCGUACUGUUGGAAGAGCAUGUUCAAAAAAGCAUGUUCGAAACGCACUUAAAUUAACCAUAACUGACAAUGUUGCUUAUAAAUUAUCUUGAACCGGACAAAAACAUUAUGUUGAAGCA